UGAUCCUCAUUGAGACACACAUUGCGACGACUAAACUCUGUUUUCUCCACGUAUGUGGAGG
rnacentral:sRNA from 1 species